UUUGUGCAUAGAUGCAGGUGCGGCAGCGCUGCCGCACCUGCAUCUAUGCACAAAAUAAAAAAACUUUUUGUAAUGCAGAUCACACCCAAACUUAUAAU